GUAACAGGAAGCAGCUUGCUGCUUCGCUGACGAGUGGCGGACGGGUGAGUAAUGUCUGGGAAGCUGCCUGAUGGAGGGGGAUAACUACUGGAAACGGUAGCUAAUACCGCAUAAUGUCGCAAGACCAAAGAGGGGGACCUUCGGGCCUCUUGCCAUCGGAUGUGCCCAGAUGGGAUUAGCUUGUUGGUGGGGUAACGGCUCACCAAGGCGACGAUCCCUAGCUGGUCUGAGAGGAUGACCAGCCACACUGGAACUGAGACACGGUCCAGACUCCUACGGGAGGCAGCAGUGGGGAAUAUUGCACAAUGGGCGCAAGCCUGAUGCAGCCAUGCCGCGUGUAUGAAGAAGGCCUUCGGGUUGUAAAGUACUUUCAGCGGGGAGGAAGGGAGUAAAGUUAAUACCUUUGCUCAUUGACGUUACCCGCAGAAGAAGCACCGGCUAACUCCGUGCCAGCAGCCGCGGUAAUACGGAGGGUGCAAGCGUUAAUCGGGAUUACUGGGCGUAAAGCGCACGCAGGCGGUUUGUUAAGUCAGAUGUGAAAUCCCCGGGCUCAACCUGGGAACUGCAUCUGAUACUGGCAAGCUUGAGUCUCGUAGAGGGGGGUAGAAUUCCAGGUGUAGCGGUGAAAUGCGUA
rnacentral:rRNA from 1 species